GACGAACCGUACGAACGUUAUUCGGAAUCACUGGGCUUAAAGGGUGCGUAGGCGGCGCGACAAGUUGGGUGUGAAAUCCCUCGGCUUAACCGAGGAACUGCCCUCCAAACUGCUUGGCUUGAGACCGGGAGAGGUGAGUGGAAUUCCCAGUGUAGCGGUGAAAUGCGUAGAUAUUGGGAGGAACACCAGUGGCGAAGGCGGCUCACUGGACCGGUACUGACGCUGAUGCGCGAAAGCGUGGGGAGCAAACGGG
rnacentral:rRNA from 1 species